rnacentral:tRNA from 1 species
GAGGGUAUAGCUCAGUGGUAUAGAGCAUGCUUAGUAUGCAUGAGGUCCUGGGUUCAAUCCCCAGUACCUCCA